UACGUAGGGGGCAAGCGUUGUCCGGAUUUAUUGGGCGUAAAGAGCGUGUAGGCGGUUUGGUAGGUCCGCUGUGAAACCUCCAGGCUCAACCUGGAGACGCCACCCGAUACUGCUGUGACUAGAGUCCGGUAGGGGAGCGUGGAAUUCCUGGUGUAGCGGUGAAAUGCGCAGAUAUCAGGAGGAACACCAGCGGCGAAGGCGGCGCUCUGGGCCGGAACUGACGCUGAGGAGCGAAAGCGUGGGGAGCAAACAGG
rnacentral:rRNA from 1 species